rnacentral:rRNA from 1 species
UUAAGUAUCCUAAAGGGUUGUCGUAGACUACGACGUUGAUAGGCAGGGUGUGUAAGCGUUGUGAGGCGUUGAGCUAACCUGUACUAAUUGCCCGUGAGGCUUAACCAUACAACACCCAAGGGGUUU